GAUGAACGCUGGCGGCGUGCCUAAUACAUGCAAGUCGAGCGAACGGACGAGAAGCUUGCUUCUCUGAUGUUAGCGGCGGACGGGUGAGUAACACGUGGAUAACCUACCUAUAAGACUGGGAUAACUUCGGGAAACCGGAGCUAAUACCGGAUAAUAUUUUGAACCGCAUGGUUCAAAAGUGAAAGACGGUCUUGCGGUCACUUAUAGAUGGAUCCGCGCUGCAUUAGCUAGUUGGUAAGGUAACGGCUUACCCAGGCAACGAUGCAUAGCCGACCUGAGAGGGUGGUCGGCCACACUGGAACUGAGACACGGUCCAGACUCCUGCGGGAGGACGCAGUAGGGACUCUUACGGAAUGGGCGAAAGCCUGACGGAGCAACGCCGCGUGAGUGAUGAAGGUCUUCGGAUCGGAAAACUCUGUUAUUAGGGAAGAACAUAUGUGUAAGUAACUGUGCACAUCUUGACGGUACCUAAUCAGAAAGCCACGGCUAACUACGUG
rnacentral:rRNA from 1 species